rnacentral:rRNA from 1 species
GACGAACGCUGGCGGCGUGCUUAACACAUGCAAGUCGAACGGAAAGGCCCUGCUUUUGUGGGGUGCUCGAGUGGCGAACGGGUGAGUAACACGUGAGUAACCUGCCCUUGACUUUGGGAUAACUUCAGGAAACUGGGGCUAAUACCGGAUAGGAGCUCCUGCUGCAUGGUGGGGGUUGGAAAGUUUCGGCGGUUGGGGAUGGACUGGCGGCUUAUCAGCUUGUUGGUGGGGUAGUGGCUUACCAAGGCUUUGACGGGUAGCCGGCCUGGGCGGGUGACAGGCCACGUUGGGACUGGGAUACGGCCCAGACUCCUACGGGAGGCAGCAGUGGGGAAUAUUGCACAAUGGGCGGAAGCCUGAUGCAGCAACGCCGCGUGCGGGAUGACGGCCUUCGGGUUGUAAACCGCUUUCGCCUGUGACGAAGCGUGAGUGACGGUAAUGGGUAAAGAAGCACCGGCUAACUACGUG